rnacentral:lncRNA from 1 species
GAUAUGUUAUUUAAAAACUUGAGAAACAAGCAAAUCCUGAAGCAUAUCAUGAGAGUCCACAACCCAAACAACAUCAUGAGAAGAUCCCAGGCCUAAAGAAUAUAUAUAGUACAGGUUGAAUGCUUUAAAGGAAAGGACCACUAGACAAAAGCCUAGAGACGUGGAACUGGAUAAGGAUUAAGGAUUGGGAAUAAUCUUUGUCUUAUGCUGAUGUUUUACUUUGUA